AAGAAUUCAUGAAUGCAUCAGUCAACAUAUUGGCCUGUUAUUUAAGGAAGAUUUCCACUGUGGUUGAAGACUAUGGGCCUUAGAUAUAAAUCAGACUGAUGGGGUUUGCUAAAAUCUAGUACUUGCAUUGAGGCACCAACAUUAUGUUUGAAUUGUUCUCUGACAUUCUCCAAGACCAAGGCCUGCAUCAUGCUCUUUGAACUUUCAGCCACCAAAUCAUGGGCUAGGGGUCAGUGUGUGGCACUGACAGUUACCCUGCUGCAUGCAAAGCUGACAUCCCAUAUCUGAAUGCCAAUUCAGUUCCCAGCUGCUCUGCUUUUGAUCCAGCUCCCUGUCAUUGUUCCUGGGAAGGCAGUGGAGGAUGACUGCAGUGCUCUCUUCCACCCAUAUGGCAGAUCAGGAUAGAAUUCCUGGCUCCUGGCUUCAACCUGGCACAGACCUGACUGUUGUGGCCAUCUGAGGAGUGAACCAGUCCAUGGAAGAGCGCUCUCUCUCUCUCUUUCUCUCUCUCUCUGUCUAUCUCUCCUUCUCUAUUAUACUGCCUUUCAUAUAUAUGAAUCAAUAAAUAUUUUUUAAAAGUAUGGGCUAAA